UACGUAGGGGGCAAGCGUUGUCCGGAUUUAUUGGGCGUAAAGAGCGUGUAGGCGGCCAGGUAGGUCUGGUGUGAAAACUCGAGGCUUAACCUCGAGAUGUCAUCGGAAACCAUUUGGCUAGAGUCCGGAAGAGGAGAGUGGAAUUCCUGGUGUAGCGGUGAAAUGCGUAGAUAUCGAGAGGAACACCAGUGGCGAAGGCGAGUCCCUGGACAACUCCUGACACUGAGGCACGAAAGCUAGGGGAGCAAACAGG
rnacentral:rRNA from 1 species